GAUGAACGCUGGCGGCGUGCCUAAUACAUGCAAGUCGAGCGAACAGAUGAGGAGCUUGCUCCUCUGACGUUAGCGGCGGACGGGUGAGUAACACGUGGAUAACCUACCUAUAAGACUGGGAUAACUUCGGGAAACCGGAGCUAAUACCGGAUAAUAUAUUGAACCGCAUGGUUCAAUAGUGAAAGACGGUUUUGCUGUCACUUAUAGAUGGAUCCGCGCCGCAUUAGGUAGUUGGUAAGGUAACGGCUUACCAAGGCAACGAUGCGUAGACGACCGGAGAGGGUGAUCGGCCACACUGGAGCUGGAACACGGUCCAGGCUCCUACGGGAGGCAGCAGUAGGGAAUCUUCCGCAAUGGGCGAAAGCCUGACGGAGCAACGCCGCGUGAGUGAUGAAGGUCUUCGGAUCGUAAAACUCUGUUAUUAGGGAAGAACAAAUGUGUAAGUAACUAUGCACGUCUUGACGGUACCGAAUCAGAAAGCCACGGCUAACUACGUG
rnacentral:rRNA from 1 species